CGCAUACUCCCUCCGUCCCAAAAUUUGUGUCUUAGAUUUUUCUAGAUACUGAUGUAUCUAACACUAAAAUGUAACUAGAUACAUCCGUAUUUAGACAAAUCUACGACAAGAAUUUUUGGACGGGGGGAGUAUAAA
rnacentral:pre_miRNA from 1 species